CAAACGGCCCUCUUUAGGGCCACAAUUAUUAAUAUUAUACUUGGUU
rfam:Bursaphelenchus xylophilus, Ka4C1 (inbred line), WGS project CADV01000000 data, contig: contig11629